rnacentral:rRNA from 1 species
CAUGUGCACACCUUGUCAUCUUUAUAUCUCCACCUGUGCACCUUUUGUAGACCUUUCCAGGUCUAUGUUGCUUCAUUUUACCUCAAUGUAUGUUAAUAGAAUGUUGUGCCUAUAAAAUAUAUACAACUUUCAGCAACGGAUCUCUUGGCUCUCGCAUCGAUGAAGAACGCAGCGAAAUGCGAUAAGUAAUGUGAAUUGCAGAAUUCAGUGAAUCAUCGAAUCUUUGAACGCACCUUGCGCUCCUUGGUAUUCCGAGGAGCAUGCCUGUUUGAGUGUCAUUAAUAUAUAUCAACCCUUCUCAUUGUUGAAGUGGUUUGGAUGUGGGGGUUUGCUGGCCUCUUGAAUGAGUUCAGCUCCCCUGAAAUGCAUUAGCAGAACAACCCUGUUCAUUGGUGUGAUAACUAUCUACGCUAUUGGAUGUGAGGGGCAGUUCAGCUUUCUAAUGGUCCUUGGACAAUUUAUCAUUUAUGUGACCUCAAAUCAGGUAGGACUACCCGCUGAACUUAAGCAUAUCAAUAA